rnacentral:misc_RNA from 1 species
CCACGUCCUUUCUGUCACUGGGUCGCUCUGCGCCGACACUAAUGAUCAUCUGCAAGAUCCCCUCUACGCCAUCCAGCUUGCCAGCACACCGAGAUGACGUCCUAGGUCAAGAUCACUUCUAGGCGGAGGAAAAACUCCAUCUUAUCGCGAGGUCACCACCACCGUGAGCAGCCCGUCGCGCCCAGCGCAGCGCUCCAGCAGCGGAGGGGCAACGACGCCGGCGCCGAUCGCCGCACGACCCUCACGAGGACGCCGCAGCUGAACGCAGCCGCGACGAUGUGCUUUACGUGGACGGCGAUAACGGCGAGGAGGUGCAGUACGUAAAGUCGUGGGAGCAGCUGCAGGCCUCGGUGUUUAGUCGGCUGCGGUACAUGACUCAGCUGAGCAAGGGCACGGCCUCCCCCUCAUCACCGUACGCACGGCCUGCCGGUGCGUCGGGCGAGCUCUCGGCGCCACCGAUGAGCGCGUCCGCAGGUUCGGUGCUGUGCACGUCCAUUUUUGUGUCGCUGCUUCUCUCCUCCGUCUGCUACGCCUACCUGCCGAACACUGUCAUGUUUUUGGGCGAGGUGGACACCAUCGACUCCAUGCUGCCCCUUAUCGAACUGGAUUGCGAGAGCGACCAGGCGGAUGCCCUGCGCCGCGUGCUGCUGCUUCGCCGUCGCCUCCCUCAGCGCUCUCUUCUUCUCUCGCUGUUACCUUUUUGGGUGCCUCUUCUUCUGUUAUCGAGUGUUGUCGUCUGCUCGUCUCCUUUGCGGUGCGCCUGUGCGUGCGUGCAUGCGCUACUCUCAUCCUCUCUCUCUACGGCUUUGAGCUGCUCCCCUGUAAAGGCGCCAACACAGCCGUUGUAGCAUUACCUGGCGGAUCCCAGUUUCUCCUUGACAGAAUCGAACCUGCAGCUGCGGAGCAAGGAUACCACGGAAUCUGUCUUGACGCAGUGCUUUAUGAAGUGCUUUCAAUCUGGCUGCAGCACCGCACGGGUCACAGGAUGCCGCCAGUAAUACGCGGAAUUGGCAGCUGGGGCACCUGGAAGCUCUGCCCCCGUUUCGCACUCACUUCGGGCAAUUUGAUCUUGGCGUGGGAAGAUCAUCUGACACCCUCCCUCGCCCUGUCAACCGUGCGCCAUCUUACCGCUGAAAUCAUCCGCUCACCCAUGAGGCCUAUCUCUACAACUGAUUUGUAAUACCGUUCCGUCCUCUCUAUGAUUCCCUUGUUGCCCCCUCCUCUCCCCGCACGGCUGCCACCUCUUACGCAUGCGCCCCAUAG